rnacentral:lncRNA from 1 species
CCACCGCCGCCGCAACCUCCUUCAUGCUACUCGACUCCUCCGCGGCCGACACUAGUCCGCCGCCGUCGUCGCAGCUCAACCUCUCUGCGGGCCCCACAACUGCAAACUUCAUCUUCCCGUUCAACCAACAGUACCAACAAAUGACCCAACAGUACCAUCAAAUGACGUUCAACUCGACCACGAGCACGACCACUCCCGCGGCACAUCACUAUCCAACGCUGAAUUCCUCAUCAAUGCACCGAACCACAUCCGCGCUGGCAAGAUUCAACAU